GAAAGUGAACAGAUUUCUGCUGAGAGUGAAAGAGAAUUUUGAGGCACAAAUGCUGAAAUUCAGCAAAAGCUGAAUUUCAGCAUUUCAUUUUGAGUGGCAUUGAGAAGCUCUUUGUUGAAAUGCAAGUUUUGUUAAAAAUAACUACGAUGUCAGUUUAAUUUCUUUUAAUCCUUUAUAAAUGAAAGUUAAACUUGCUCGAAAGUCUAAAUUGACUUUCCGACAGGUCGACGACGCGCUAAUUACGGUAGAGGCCGUUCUAGUUCUAUUUGCGCUAGGUCGCGAGAGAUAGUUGUCGACGCAUUCCGAGACGUGGAUUCCAGUUGUUGACACCACUACAGGUUCCAGUGCGAAUGGUGUGGCCGAGGAUCGUGGCAAGAGCCCCGCAGCUUAGCUAGCUGACACCAGAGUUUUAGCAGUCACCAUUUUGAGUUUAUGUAUCAACUAUUUUGAUGUACAGAGGCAUUUAAUGAAUGUAUUAUAAAGCAUGUAAAUAACUAAAUAUUUCAGUUAUGUAGUUCAGUUUGAAAGCUUUAAAUUACAGUGAAUUUUCAGUAAA